UUCCCCAUGUCGUCAAACACAACCCCCAAGUUUAAGAGUUAUUCAACCAGGGUCACAGCUUGCUUGAAAUAGGACACAACCCUACACAACAGGGGUAAAAGCCACAUCUUAUGUAAAGUGGGCCCAAAAGCAGCCACCUUCAAAAAGCGUUUAAGCUUAAUAUGCACCACCCCCACCCCCCUCCCAUUAAUGGGCGUGAACCCCCAAACCCCACUGAGUGAUCCCAUACUUAUAUGGAACACAUAAUGCUAGGACUAGUAACAAGAACAAAUUCUCCAAAAUGUAAAUAUAGGCCAGAAUGGAUUUCCCCCCGGCAAUUUACGAAGAUGAGCCAAUUACAGCAACUUUAACAAGAAAACCCUGAAAUACCCUCCCGUUUACCUUACACUAGCACACUCAUGGGAAGAUUAACAGAAAAAGAAAGAACUCGGGGAAUCUCAGCCCCGCCCGUUUACCAAAAACAUCGCCUCUUGACCCACUAUAAAAGGUCCCGCCCGCCCAGUGACAUAGUUUAACGGCCCCGGUAUCCUAAACGUGCGAAGGUAGCAUAAUCCCCUGUUUUUUAAAUAAAGACUCGUAUCAACGGCACCACGAGGGCCGCACUGUCUCCUUUUUCCAAUCAGUGAAACUGAUCUCCCCGUGAAGAAGCGGGGAUAAAACCAUAAGACGAGAAGACCCCAUGGAGCUUCAAACUAAACAGCAACUCUGUUACACAACCCCUAUUACCCACAGAAACAUGCCUGUUAGUUUUAGGUUGGGGCGACCACGGAGCACAAAACAACCUCCAUGACGAAAAGAACUAACUCUUAACCCUAGAGCCACUCCUCCAAGAAUUAGCACACUAACGAACAAUGACCCGACUAUCGAUCAACGAACCAAGUUACCCUGGGGAUAACAGCGCAAUCUACUCCAAGAGUCCCUAUCGACAAGUAGGCUUACGACCUCGAUGUUGGAUCAGGGUACCCCAGUGG
rnacentral:rRNA from 1 species